UUUUGGGGUGGAUAAGGUCAGUGUAAUUUACCUAAAAAAAUUGAACUUUUUCCUCAAGUGACUAAAAUUUCAAAACCUAACUUAGAUAACAAUCACAAUAGGCUAAUAACAGUAGAAAUUUCGAAACAUAAUUUACAUAACAAUCACAGUACCCACAAAAAUUUUUAUUCUAAUUU